UACGUAGGUGGCAAGCGUUGUCCGGAUUUAUUGGGUUUAAAGGGUGCGUAGGCGGCCUUAUAAGUCAGUGCUGAAAUAUCCCGGCUUAACCGGGAGGGUGGCAUUGAUACUGUAGGGCUUGAGUAAAGUUGAGGUUGGCGGAAUUGACGGUGUAGCGGUGAAAUGCUUAGAUAUCGUCAAGAACACCGAUAGUGAAGACAGCUUACCAAGCUUCAACUGACGCUGAGGCACGAAAGUGUGGGGAUCAAACAGG
rnacentral:rRNA from 1 species